GACCAAGAAGGACAUUCCCCCCCAUGGAGGGAAGAGGAAACAGCCCAGCCACGCUUCUCUCCUCCAAGCACGGGCACCAUUGCUUGCCAAGAGACCAAAACAACACACACUUGGUGUGGUUGCACCAAGCUGGAAGAGCCUCCCUGAGGAUAUUCACCAUUUUCCUGGCUUUCUGACUGCCACAGCACACUGAGCUGAGCUUCUAAGGGAAUAGUCCAUGGUGAUUCCAAGAGCAUUUUCUUGAGUGGUGGCUGCCAGUUUUGAGUUCAAAACCAUUAAAUAUGAUUCAGAUUACUCCACAGAUUAUUCUACCCAAGACAUCACCUUGAAAGUGCCUGUGGGGUCCCUCCUUUCAGUCAAUGGCUUGUCAGAAAGCAUCAAUAGUAAGACUGAAGGAGUUUGAUGUUUUACCUUCAUUCUUAUGAGCCAUUAUUGAACCAGAGGAGGGAAAAGCAAGUUACACUGGAUGGAUGCUGGAGUCCCUGAGCACAGACUGUCUAUAUUGGAACUGAGCAGAUAUUUGAGCUUUGAUAACUUUGUUCAUAAAUGUUCCAACACACUGUUAAAGAGAGGAUACAGCCUGCAGCAGAUAUGAGCCUGACAGUUCCUCUUGAAAAGAUUAAAUCUACCAUAUCUUCUAUGGAGAUUUGCACAGUCAGGAAAAUUACAAACUUAAAAACAUUCCAACUCAUCUUCCAAAAACAAGACCACAUAUCAUGAUGUUAGAAUCUACUSAUUUCUAUAUUUAAAACCAAAGUGUUUCUAAAAGCUCAUGAUUAUUUCUCUCUGAAAGCUUGAGAAGAAUAAACCAUCCGUCUGGGUCUUCAAUCRUUCUAUAGUAUAUCUACUUACAGGUACAAAAUGUGUAAGAAUAUAAAAGGGUAUUUUGCAAGUCUGAAACUUCAAAAGUUAAAYACCUUUAAUAAACCAUCUUCUCCAAUGCUCAACCCUGGAUAAUCUAAAAAUACCCAGAUAUCUUGAGUUCAGAAACCCAGAUAUYUUGAACUCUGCCUUACUCCUCAUUGUAUCACAUUGACUGUUUUCUCUUGUGAAGACCCAAGGAUAACAGAGAUGUGGAAAAAGGCAAUGGGGAACAACUGUGUGGGACAUCAGCUCCUGAUGACAAUUACCACAGUGGCAGAGAUGACUGGAAAUGUAAGGUGCUGUGGCAGCUGGGUGCCUGACCCUGUCCCCUGGCUCUGAGCUGUAAAAAACUCCUUAACUCUGGGGAUCAGACUUCUUAGGUCUGCUGUCAAAGCUAUCAGAAGUACUGGUCUUAUUACCAUGACAUAAAACUAUUUAUUAAAGCUAAUAGUUUAAAAACACA